GCCAGGAAGCCCAGAGCGGGACGAGGACAGUGGCUGAGCAGGGAGUGGUCUGGGCAAGAGAGCUGCAGGCGCUCUGUUUCAGCCCUCUCUAUUUGUCUGAAGGUUUCUUGCCAUGAUUGUGCAGAGGAUGGAGAAGCUUGAGGCUCUUGAAGAGAUCAAAUGCCUCCCCCAGCAGGCUGAGCCAGAACAGCAGCAGCUGGGAAAGAAGAGACACCCAGGCACCCGGAACAGCUCAAGCGAAGACACUGCUUUAGAAAGGAAUGCAUGGUAGUAACACAGGUUACCCAGUACAUGCAGAUUUACACAGUCAUGUCAAUAGCACUCAGUGUGUCUGCUGUCAGCUGUGAAACACGUCCUUCGUGCUUGCUGAUGAUAAAAAUCCGCAUAACUCGCAGCAGCUCUGUCUUUUGUGAGGCGUUCAUUCAGGCAGACCCUCUUGUGAACGUUGUUCAUGGGCUCUUCCAUUUGUGCUCUCAGAGCAGGAAACUCUUACUUAGCCCGGUGGCCAACACUCUUUGCCAUGGAGAACAUUCACAAAUGGGAAUUUUACUUACUUUUCCCUGUAGGAACUGAACAGACCAAUCAGUCUUCAGUUGAUGGGAAGAAGACCAGAAGACCUCUGUGUACUUCAGGGGUCUCCCGGGAGAGCUCGAAGGUCAUGGAUAGUUCCACAUGCCAAAGCACCUCAUCUCAGGAAAAAGAUGCUACUCAGACAGCUGUUGAGGGGAGACCUGUGAGUAGGAGCUGGGUGGAUGUGGUGGCUCUCCUUUGCGGCAGCGCAUUGGCGCUCAGGACUGCUGGGAGGGCGCUGCCGCACACACAGCCUCUCUCGGCUCGUGACGCAUAGUGGGUUGUCAGAGUGUCUCCUGAGAAAUCCCCUGGCAACUAGGAAGGGAUCUUCUCAGCCUGGGAGUCUCUGUCUUGAACAAUUAGGAGGGGUCUGGCUUCCUGACCUGCGGGGCACUUAUUUCCACCUCCGGCUGAGACCACUCCCCAGGAAUUCAGCUUGUCUUGGAGCCAGCUGUUCCAGUGUGCACCAUGUCCUAAUCCUGAGGGUGAAGAAAUUUGGGGGCUGAAUCACAAUUCCUGCCUGUUUUUGUUGUGUCAUGAAGCUUAUUCUUUAAUGCAUUUCUUAACUCUUCAGGAAGAAGAAACUCUGUCCAGCAGCAAGCUGCUGAGCUCCCAAGAGCCUGCUCGUCAGGAACUUCAGAGUCCUGAAGACAGCUUGAGUGAGCCAUCGCAGGAGGAGCAAGACACUGAAAACCAAGAAGGCAGUACAGAGGAUUCUUCUAGACAGCUGUGUCUCUGUCCUGAGACAAGAACAUCCCUCUCUUCAGGAGCCUCUGAAGAAGACAAUGAGACAAAGAGAGCAGAAGAUUUUUGCAGGUAUGACAUCAGCAUCCCCCUACAUCUCAGAAGAUAGCAGCUGUCAUGCUCUGACAUGGUUUAGGGGUACCCACUGAUAGGGUUCAGAAGACUUUCUUCUCUUUAUCCUGAGCCUUUCCUGCCUCACCAUCACUGCCCCCUGCCCCAUACUUAGUUCACUCCUCUAGCUUCCUGGUGGAAGGGCUUUAUUCUCAAAGCACCCAAAUGAGAAAGAGCUGCGGGAUGCCUCCGGGGUGUCUCCACCAACACAUCCUGCGCCCACAGGCUCCGGAGCCUCAUUUAAUCUCUGACCCUUCCCCACGGACCUUGCCUGAGCUACGCCACAGGGGGCCUGUGCCCGACCUUGCUGAUUCUGCCCUUGCCUUGCCCACCUGAUUUCCUGGCUUGUCCGUGACCUGCCUCGUCGCUAUGGGCUUGCUGGCAACUGCCAAAGUGUCAGCUGGCCCUGGUUACUGUCACCACUGUUAUGGAAAUUAGGCUUGUUGGCCACCAUAACAGGGCUCGACCCUAGGUUCCCGCAAGUAAAGUUCAGAGCCAAAUCAAAACAAAUUAAAUUUUAAUCACGCGCGUGCCAUAAUUACAGCUCGAGCUGGGUGCCUCCUAAGAGGGACCCUAACAUAAACAAAUCCUGGGCAAUUACAGUUUUUUCAACUUACAUUUCCCACCCCUCACGCGAUAGUUAGACCAAUAGUAAUUUUUUGGCCUGGGGUCUCCUGCUCCUCAUUGGGUCUCAUCGUCAUUCUGAGGUAAGCUGUUUUUCUCCUUAUUUUUGUUUUUUGCGGUCUCUGAUGACGGUUGUACCUCUGUUUUUGUUGGGUCUUACUGUUGUGUCUUAAGGUCCUGAGGAGGACGUGAUUCUAAAUCAUAACAAUUAACACUGCCCCAGCAGUGAGCUGAGGCUUUGUCCCUCAAGGUCCUAAUGCCCUGCGCUGGUCUUCUUUCAAAGCCUUGACACCCUCCCUUUCGGGGUGUGAGAUACAUUCCUGCAGACACCCUCCCUUUCGGGGUGUGAGAGGCAGGAAUGCAGACUGCUUGUAACUUCCUUAUCUUCCUAGCUUGAACCAGCUCUGAGGCCCUUUUCUUACUGGACUAAGUAAAAGUUCAUUAUUUUAUCUAAGUGCGGCCUAAGGCUUCAGCAAAUUUAGCUACUCAUGCUAAGCAAAUGUUAUAGAAGUUGUGCUAAGCAGCUACCUCUAGACAGUUUCAGUUUGCUAUUCUUUAACAGUUCCCCCCUUUGUUUUUAUGAAGCAUCCCUGCUAAUACUUUAAACAGAGUUCUCAAAGCCUUGCAAGGCGUACUAUCACGUUCCAUAAUCUUAUGCAUGAUAUGAUCGUAAGCAAUAGGCAUAACACAGUUAAAGUUAGCACAACUACUACUGGGUGCAACACAUGAUUAUAAACGCUGUUGUAGUUGGUGACCACCCUAGAAGAGUUUCCCAGCCAUGAUGUUCUCCGUCCCUUUUUAUCCUUUCCGAGACGUGGUGUAUCUCUUCCGCAUCAUGACGAAUGGUGAUUAGAGUUUUCUGUCCACUGUUUCGGAUGCGUUCUAGCAGUCAACGCAAAUCAUCAUGUUAUAGUAGUUUCUUUACCAGGGUGAGAUUCAUCCCAAUGGGGGUAGGUAGUAAAUUUUGAAUUAAUGUAUGAGUAGAUUGUAACAAUUGAUAAGAUCUAAUAGGAGCUGAAUAAUUAAAGUCGCAUCCCAUAAUCUUGGGUAAAGUUACAAAUACAAAUAUUUGAGUGAUGACUUGUAUCUACAGCAAUGUUAUCUAUGAAUAUAAGAUUACAAAGUGUUCUUACACAUACACAUCCUUUUUUAACAUAUACAAGUACAGUUCAACUUUAGCAGCAAAAGAAGAACAUAGUAUGACAGUAUAUGGCCUGUUCCAUUUAGGUUUUAACUUGGAUUUUUGUGAAAAUACUUUAACUAAAACUUCAUCCCCAGGCUGUAUACCAAGCACUUGUAUGUCAGGUGGUGUGGAUUGAUAUCAUUGAGCAUAUAUAUAUAUAUACAUUUUUUUUUUUAAGAUUUUCAAACCUUUUUGCAUACUUAGAACAUACUGGGUUAGUCGUUCAUCUCUGUCUAACAGGCUGGUCUUAGCUGGAAUAAUAAGUCCCUAGUACAGCUAAAUGUCUCCCGAAGAGAAUUUCUGCUGGUGUUAGUCCUAUGGGUUGCCAUGGGACAUUUCAAACAUGCCAUAGAGCUAAGUUUAAUGCUUCUGGCCAUUUUAGGCUAGCACGUGUGCAUAUUCUUGCUAUUUUUUCUUUUAAUGUUCUAUUCAUUCUUUCUACUUGUCCUGAAGAUUGUGGGUGAUAAGGGGUACAUAGGUUUCUUUUUAUUCCUAAUGAUUUAUAUAACUGAGUGAUUAUGCUGGCCGUGAAAUGGGCACCCCUAUCUGAAUCAAUGGCUUCUGGGACCCCAUACCUAGGUAUGAGUUCUUUCAGUAAGGCUUUUACCACUCCCCCUGUGUCGGCCUUUCUUGUUGGGAAAGCUUCUACCCAGCCUGAUAACUGAUCUACUAUCACUAACAAGUAUUUGCACCCAUUGGCGGAUGGCAUAUCCGCAUCAUCUAUUUGCAGCUUUUGGAAAGGGAAGUCAGCCCAUGGUCGCCUCCCCUAAAUCUGAGCUUGGCUUGUUAUUUGAAAACUUCUGGCAGGUCGGGCAGCUAUUUGUUAUUCUUUUAGCAGCUGCAUAAAUUCCUGGAGCAGCCCAUACUUUCUGUACCUGCUUAGCUAUUGCCUCGGCUCUCCCAUGAGCUUUAUCGUGAAACCACCUAGCUAUAGUAAUUAAAUAUUUUUUUUGGUAGAAUUGGUUUUCCUCCAAUUGUCCAUAUUCCAUCAUCACUUUGUUUUGCUUCCCACUGCUCCCACUGUUUUUUCUCUUCCACUGAGCAGUCUUUUUCAUACAUAGUUUUGGGGUCUAUUAAGUUUGGCCACUCGCUCUGGUCCAUCCUUGGAACUGCCCCCAUACAUUCUUUCAGAGGCUGUCGAGCUGCAGCUUUUGCAGCAGCGUCGGCUAAAGCAUUUUCUCUGCUAAUUUCUGUAGUGUCUUUAGUAUGGGCUGGGCAGUGUAUUACAGCAAUUUCUUUGGGCAGUUGAACUGCUUCCAGCAAAUUACGUAUUUCUUCUCCAUUAGCUAAUUUCUUUCCUGAUGACGAAAAGAAUCCUCGUUCUUUCCAUCACAUCCCUGUUGCGUGACAUACUCCAAAUGCAUAUUUAGAAUCGGUAUAGAUAUUUACCCGCAGGUUCUUACCUGUUUUUGCUGCUUGGGUCAUUUUUGAGUGUACGCGAAAAAAUAGUCGGAGACCCAGUAAAUCCCUGUGGCAGCCUCGUCCAAGUUAAUUGUUGUCCCUUCUAAGUGAAAGCAAAGAGAUCUUGGCUGUCUUCAGCUCUCAGUAUACUAAAAAAGGCUGCUGUUAGGUCAAUCACAGUAAAAUAAGUUGCCCAAUGAGGUAUUUGUAGUAAAAUGGUUGAGGGGUCGGGAACUACUGAAUGUGGAGCAACUACAUGUUGGAUUAUAGCCCUUAAGUCUUGUACAAACCGAUACUCCGGAUCACCAUCAGAAUCUUGCCUGUUCUUUUUAACCGGCAGAAUCGGAGUGUUGUACAGAGAUUCACAGACUCUAAGGAUACCCAGUUUCAAAGAAUGAUUGAUUUGUUUUUGGAUACUCUUCUCUGCUUCCUUUGGGAUAGGGUAUUGUUUAACUGCAGGAGGCAAUCCCCCCUUUGUUUUUAUCGAGACUGGACUAGCUGAUUUCAGUAGUUCCACAUCCAUUCCUGAAGAGCUUCAUAACUUUUUAGAAACUGAUUCUAAACUUGUUGGAAUUUGCAGAUUAGUCGACUCUGGUUCUGGUGUCUUAGCCAGAACACAUGAGCCCAUAAUUAUUAAUUGUAUCCCUUCCAGCUGUAAACAGAUCUGCGUAUCCAAGGCUUGCAGGAGAUCUCUCCCUAAGAGGCAAGAGGGCGAGUCUGUGGAAAUUAUAAAACGUCCCCACACUGUUUUACCCCCAAUAGUGAGCAAUAAGGGCUUAGAUAACAUUCGUUCACCUUUUCCCAUGACUCCUUGCAUCACUAUUUUGUCUGAUGACUUGCAUCCUUUAGGCUCAAAAUUUAAAAGGGAAAGGGUGGCUCCAGUAUCUACUAGAAAGGGAACUUCUAAACCUUCUAUAUUUGCCAUUGUCUGCCCCUCAAAAUUCAAAUCUAUAUCCCAUAAAUUUACCCCAAUUUCCACAGUAUUUUCUGAGUCUCCUAUCUCCUGUCAUUGUGGGCUGACUGGGAAUUGCCUGGUCUCAUUCUUAGUGUUUGAUUUUCUCAUGCUGGCCCCUCUAUUCCCAAGUACACGGGGCCUCACUGGGCAUUCCUGCUUCCAGUGCCCUUGUUCCCCGCAAUAAUGACAAACAUCAUUAACUCUCAAUUGUACACCACGUUCACUUUGAUUCCAUCUACCUCCUCUGGUUCUGCCGCGCCCCCUCCCCUUGCCAGCCUGGCAUAUGCUCUUUAAAAUACUUUUGUGUAUCAGGGGCUGCUUGAUCUAUAAAAACACUAAUUGCGAGAGCAUCGUUGAAGUUUUGUGGGGUCAUUCCUCCAUAUUUUAGCAGGGCUUACCACAGAAGUCCCCAUAGUCGUGGGGGUGUUCAUCUAAUCACUGUCCGCAUUCUUGCACUUCAAUCCAAUUUACUCCUAACUCUCUGCAUGCUCUAAUUACUUCUGCUAAAUUUCAAAGUCCUGUUUGACACACAGCUCUAUCUCCUGCAUUAUUACAAUCCCAAUUUGGAUCAUUUGCUAGCCAGAGGUUUCUAUUCCCCCGGCUUGCUGCGCUUCUUCCACAUCUUUAAUUAUCUUAUCCCAUUCUUUUGGUUGAAAUAAUUCCCUCAAAAGAAUUUGGGUAUCACUCCAGUUUGGGUUGUGCCCAGUGCAUAUAUUAGAAAAUAACUGGACACAUCGCUCUGCAUCCUUUCUUAAUCUCUGCAUUUUACCCCCCCCCCCCCAUAAGGCGAGAUCGCCAGGGUCCCGGGGUUGAUUAGUAAAUACCCACAGCACAGGAGGGGGGGACUGGCCCCUCCCUUUCCCCCUGGCUGUAAAGCGGCAGGGUUAGUCAGCACGUUGGGGAUCAUAGGAUAGAGUCCGGCAGCCGGUGGAGUAGAGGGAGAGGGAGGAGGAGAAGAAGUAAUGACAGAGAGAUCAUCAGGCAUAUAAGGUGGAGCAGAAACUUUUGGAGCACAGUCCGGGGUACUAGUAUCUGCUAGCACAAGUGUUACCUUCGGCAGGUUUCUUUCCUCCCUCCCUCCUGGCUCAAAUGCUUCCGUGCCCAUGCCCAGUUAUCCCAAACAUACCAGUAAUCCAUUAGACUUGGAAACCUGUCUUCUAGACGAUUUCACAAGGAAGUUAGUUCCUGCUGAUCAAAAGUCCCUUGCGGUGGCCACCGUUCUGCUGGGUUUCCCUCCUUUGUCAGGAAUGGGCAAUCCUCCUGACACAGCUGGAUCAACCUUUUUUCCUUAGAUUUUUUUGGUACUCCAGUUUUCCAAAAUUUCGGCUAAGGGCGUCCCCUUUUCUAUGCCGAAAUUAUUCCCCAUACUGAGUUUCUGAAAAGUGCGUCUUAAGCAAGUCAGGCAGCGCACUUCCUUACCAGUAACACCAGCCCCUGUAGCUGGUGCGAUCACACUCUCUUUCUCUCACUCUCUGGGAACCGCACUCCCACCCCCCGAGUCUUUAACUGCUAGGACUGCUGUCCCUGCGCAGCGGGCGGCUUCCUCAGCCGACGGGUGCCCCGGUCGGUUCCCAGGCUACACACACACACACACACACACACACACACACACAGAGUACUGUUCACGCUCACACCAGUCUCAGUGACUCUAGACUUCUGUCUUACAGUCUUGCAGUGCGCCUUAUGCUGAUCAGGCUGUGCAUCCCUGCUCCGGCUGGACCGAGCUGGGACUUACAACCCACUCAAACCCUGGGGAUGGGACUCGCACCCGUCCCCCUGGUACGCCUUACAGUGGCCAGCCCGUGUACCCCCCUGCCUGGUACGCCUUACGGUGAUCAGCCUGCCUACCCCUUACAGUGCACUGUUACCAGACCAGAAUUUAGAAUUUAGGCGGGAGUUUAAGACUCACCUUCUCGGUGCCUCUCGGUGCCAAAGAUCCCAGGUGAACUCACCCGAUGGCACCAGAUGAUCGUUUGGAGACGAGAGACCCCGACAGUGGUCGCCUAGGGUCCCAUCUGGGGUGCCAAACUGUUAUGGAAAUUAGGCUUGUCGGCCACCAUAACAGGGCUCGACCCUAGGUUCCCGCAAGUAAAGUUCAGAGCCAAAUCAAAACAAAUUAAAUUUUAAUCACGCGCGUGCCAUAAUUACAGCUCGAGCUGGGUGCCUCCUAAGAGGGACCCUAACAUAAACAAAUCCUGGGCAAUUACAGUUUUUUCAACUUACAUUUCCCACCCCUCACGCGAUAGUUAGACCAAUAGUAAUUUUUUGGCCUGGGGUCUCCUGCUCCUCAUUGGGUCUCAUCGUCAUUCUGAGGUAAGCUGUUUUUCUCCUUAUUUUUGUUUUUUGCGGUCUCUGAUGACGGUUGUACCUCUGUUUUUGUUGGGUCUUACUGUUGUGUCUUAAGGUCCUGAGGAGGACGUGAUUCUAAAUCAUAACAAUUAACACUGCCCCAGCAGUGAGCUGAGGCUUUGUCCCUCAAGGUCCUAAUGCCCUGCGCUGGUCUUCUUUCAAAGCCUUGACACCCUCCCUUUCGGGGUGUGAGAUACAUUCCUGCAGACACCCUCCCUUUCGGGGUGUGAGAGGCAGGAAUGCAGACUGCUUGUAACUUCCUUAUCUUCCUAGCUUGAACCAGCUCUGAGGCCCUUUUCUUACUGGACUAAGUAAAAGUUCAUUAUUUUAUCUAAGUGCGGCCUAAGGCUUCAGCAAAUUUAGCUACUCAUGCUAAGCAAAUGUUAUAGAAGUUGUGCUAAGCAGCUACCUCUAGACAGUUUCAGUUUGCUAUUCUUUAACAGUUCCCCCCUUUGUUUUUAUGAAGCAUCCCUGCUAAUACUUUAAACAGAGUUCUCAAAGCCUUGCAAGGCGUACUAUCACGUUCCAUAAUCUUAUGCAUGAUAUGAUCGUAAGCAAUAGGCAUAACACAGUUAAAGUUAGCACAACUACUACUGGGUGCAACACAUGAUUAUAAACGCUGUUGUAGUUGGUGACCACCCUAGAAGAGUUUCCCAGCCAUGAUGUUCUCCGUCCCUUUUUAUCCUUUCCGAGACGUGGUGUAUCUCUUCCGCAUCAUGACGAAUGGUGAUUAGAGUUUUCUGUCCACUGUUUCGGAUGCGUUCUAGCAGUCAACGCAAAUCAUCAUGUUAUAGUAGUUUCUUUACCAGGGUGAGAUUCAUCCCAAUGGGGGUAGGUAGUAAAUUUUGAAUUAAUGUAUGAGUAGAUUGUAACAAUUGAUAAGAUCUAAUAGGAGCUGAAUAAUUAAAGUCGCAUCCCAUAAUCUUGGGUAAAGUUACAAAUACAAAUAUUUGAGUGAUGACUUGUAUCUACAGCAAUGUUAUCUAUGAAUAUAAGAUUACAAAGUGUUCUUACACAUACACAUCCUUUUUUAACAUAUACAAGUACAGUUCAACUUUAGCAGCAAAAGAAGAACAUAGUAUGACAGUAUAUGGCCUGUUCCAUUUAGGUUUUAACUUGGAUUUUUGUGAAAAUACUUUAACUAAAACUUCAUCCCCAGGCUGUAUACCAAGCACUUGUAUGUCAGGUGGUGUGGAUUGAUAUCAUUGAGCAUAUAUAUAUAUAUACAUUUUUUUUUUUAAGAUUUUCAAACCUUUUUGCAUACUUAGAACAUACUGGGUUAGUCGUUCAUCUCUGUCUAACAGGCUGGUCUUAGCUGGAAUAAUAAGUCCCUAGUACAGCUAAAUGUCUCCCGAAGAGAAUUUCUGCUGGUGUUAGUCCUAUGGGUUGCCAUGGGACAUUUCAAACAUGCCAUAGAGCUAAGUUUAAUGCUUCUGGCCAUUUUAGGCUAGCACGUGUGCAUAUUCUUGCUAUUUUUUCUUUUAAUGUUCUAUUCAUUCUUUCUACUUGUCCUGAAGAUUGUGGGUGAUAAGGGGUACAUAGGUUUCUUUUUAUUCCUAAUGAUUUAUAUAACUGAGUGAUUAUGCUGGCCGUGAAAUGGGCACCCCUAUCUGAAUCAAUGGCUUCUGGGACCCCAUACCUAGGUAUGAGUUCUUUCAGUAAGGCUUUUACCACUCCCCCUGUGUCGGCCUUUCUUGUUGGGAAAGCUUCUACCCAGCCUGAUAACUGAUCUACUAUCACUAACAAGUAUUUGCACCCAUUGGCGGAUGGCAUAUCCGCAUCAUCUAUUUGCAGCUUUUGGAAAGGGAAGUCAGCCCAUGGUCGCCUCCCCUAAAUCUGAGCUUGGCUUGUUAUUUGAAAACUUCUGGCAGGUCGGGCAGCUAUUUGUUAUUCUUUUAGCAGCUGCAUAAAUUCCUGGAGCAGCCCAUACUUUCUGUACCUGCUUAGCUAUUGCCUCAGCUCUCCCAUGAGCUUUAUCAUGAAACCACCUAGCUAUAGUAAUUAAAUAUUUUUUUUGGUAGAAUUGGUUUUCCUCCAAUUGUCCAUAUUCCAUCAUCACUUUGUUUUGCUUCCCACUGCUCCCACUGUUUUUUCUCUUCCACUGAGCAGUCUUUUUCAUACAUAGUUUUGGGGUCUAUUAAGUUUGGCCACUCACUCUGGUCCAUCCUUGGAACUGCCCCCAUACAUUCUUUCAGAGGCUGUCGAGCUGCAGCUUUUGCAGCAGCGUCGGCUAAAGCAUUUCCUCUGCUAAUUUCUGUAGUGUCUUUAGUAUGGGCUGGGCAGUGUAUUACAGCAAUUUCUUUGGGCAGUUGAACUGCUUCCAGCAAAUUACGUAUUUCUUCUCCAUUAGCUAAUUUCUUUCCUGAUGACGAAAAGAAUCCUCGUUCUUUCCAUCACAUCCCUGUUGCGUGACAUACUCCAAAUGCAUAUUUAGAAUCGGUAUAGAUAUUUACCCGCAGGUUCUUACCUGUUUUUGCUGCUUGGGUCAUUUUUGAGUGUACGCGAAAAAAUAGUCGGAGACCCAGUAAAUCCCUGUGGCAGCCUCGUCCAAGUUAAUUGUUGUCCCUUCUAAGUGAAAGCAAAGAGAUCUUGGCUGUCUUCAGCUCUCAGUAUACUAAAAAAGGCUGCUGUUAGGUCAAUCACAGUAAAAUAAGUUGCCCAAUGAGGUAUUUGUAGUAAAAUGGUUGAGGGGUCGGGAACUACUGAAUGUGGAGCAACUACAUGUUGGAUUAUAGCCCUUAAGUCUUGUACAAACCGAUACUCCGGAUCACCAUCAGAAUCUUGCCUGUUCUUUUUAACCGGCAGAAUCGGAGUGUUGUACAGAGAUUCACAGACUCUAAGGAUACCCAGUUUCAAAGAAUGAUUGAUUUGUUUUUGGAUACUCUUCUCUGCUUCCUUUGGGAUAGGGUAUUGUUUAACUGCAGGAGGCAAUCCCCCCUUUGUUUUUAUCGAGACUGGACUAGCUGAUUUCAGUAGUUCCACAUCCAUUCCUGAAGAGCUUCAUAACUUUUUAGAAACUGAUUCUAAACUUGUUGGAAUUUGCAGAUUAGUCGACUCUGGUUCUGGUGUCUUAGCCAGAACACAUGAGCCCAUAAUUAUUAAUUGUAUCCCUUCCAGCUGUAAACAGAUCUGCGUAUCCAAGGCUUGCAGGAGAUCUCUCCCUAAGAGGCAAGAGGGCGAGUCUGUGGAAAUUAUAAAACGUCCCCACACUGUUUUACCCCCAAUAGUGAGCAAUAAGGGCUUAGAUAACAUUCGUUCACCUUUUCCCAUGACUCCUUGCAUCACUAUUUUGUCUGAUGACUUGCAUCCUUUAGGCUCAAAAUUUAAAAGGGAAAGGGUGGCUCCAGUAUCUACUAGAAAGGGAACUUCUAAACCUUCUAUAUUUGCCAUUGUCUGCCCCUCAAAAUUCAAAUCUAUAUCCCAUAAAUUUACCCCAAUUUCCACAGUAUUUUCUGAGUCUCCUAUCUCCUGUCAUUGUGGGCUGACUGGGAAUUGCCUGGUCUCAUUCUUAGUGUUUGAUUUUCUCAUGCUGGCCCCUCUAUUCCCAAGUACACGGGGCCUCACUGGGCAUUCCUGCUUCCAGUGCCCUUGUUCCCCGCAAUAAUGACAAACAUCAUUAACUCUCAAUUGUACACCACGUUCACUUUGAUUCCAUCUACCUCCUCUGGUUCUGCCGCGCCCCCUCCCCUUGCCAGCCUGGCAUAUGCUCUUUAAAAUACUUUUGUGUAUCAGGGGCUGCUUGAUCUAUAAAAACACUAAUUGCGAGAGCAUCGUUGAAGUUUUGUGGGGUCAUUCCUCCAUAUUUUAGCAGGGCUUACCACAGAAGUCCCCAUAGUCGUGGGGGUGUUCAUCUAAUCACUGUCCGCAUUCUUGCACUUCAAUCCAAUUUACUCCUAACUCUCUGCAUGCUCUAAUUACUUCUGCUAAAUUUCAAAGUCCUGUUUGACACACAGCUCUAUCUCCUGCAUUAUUACAAUCCCAAUUUGGAUCAUUUGCUAGCCAGAGGUUUCUAUUCCCCCGGCUUGCUGCGCUUCUUCCACAUCUUUAAUUAUCUUAUCCCAUUCUUUUGGUUGAAAUAAUUCCCUCAAAAGAAUUUGGGUAUCACUCCAGUUUGGGUUGUGCCCAGUGCAUAUAUUAGAAAAUAACUGGACACAUCGCUCUGCAUCCUUUCUUAAUCUCUGCAUUUUACCCCCCCCCCCCAUAAGGCGAGAUCGCCAGGGUCCCGGGGUUGAUUAGUAAAUACCCACAGCACAGGAGGGGGGGACUGGCCCCUCCCUUUCCCCCUGGCUGUAAAGCGGCAGGGUUAGUCAGCACGUUGGGGAUCAUAGGAUAGAGUCCGGCAGCCGGUGGAGUAGAGGGAGAGGGAGGAGGAGAAGAAGUAAUGACAGAGAGAUCAUCAGGCAUAUAAGGUGGAGCAGAAACUUUUGGAGCACAGUCCGGGGUACUAGUAUCUGCUAGCACAAGUGUUACCUUCGGCAGGUUUCUUUCCUCCCUCCCUCCUGGCUCAAAUGCUUCCGUGCCCAUGCCCAGUUAUCCCAAACAUACCAGUAAUCCAUUAGACUUGGAAACCUGUCUUCUAGACGAUUUCACAAGGAAGUUAGUUCCUGCUGAUCAAAAGUCCCUUGCGGUGGCCACCGUUCUGCUGGGUUUCCCUCCUUUGUCAGGAAUGGGCAAUCCUCCUGACACAGCUGGAUCAACCUUUUUUCCUUAGAUUUUUUUGGUACUCCAGUUUUCCAAAAUUUCGGCUAAGGGCGUCCCCUUUUCUAUGCCGAAAUUAUUCCCCAUACUGAGUUUCUGAAAAGUGCGUCUUAAGCAAGUCAGGCAGCGCACUUCCUUACCAGUAACACCAGCCCCUGUAGCUGGUGCGAUCACACUCUCUUUCUCUCACUCUCUGGGAACCGCACUCCCACCCCCCGAGUCUUUAACUGCUAGGACUGCUGUCCCUGCGCAGCGGGCGGCUUCCUCAGCCGACGGGUGCCCCGGUCGGUUCCCAGGCUACACACACACACACACACACACACACACACACACACACACACACACACACAGAGUACUGUUCACGCUCACACCAGUCUCAGUGACUCUAGACUUCUGUCUUACAGUCUUGCAGUGCGCCUUAUGCUGAUCAGGCUGUGCAUCCCUGCUCCGGCUGGACCGAGCUGGGACUUACAACCCACUCAAACCCUGGGGAUGGGACUCGCACCCGUCCCCCUGGUACGCCUUACAGUGGCCAGCCCGUGUACCCCCCUGCCUGGUACGCCUUACGGUGAUCAGCCUGCCUACCCCUUACAGUGCACUGUUACCAGACCAGAAUUUAGAAUUUAGGCGGGAGUUUAAGACUCACCUUCUCGGUGCCUCUCGGUGCCAAAGAUCCCAGGUGAACUCACCCGAUGGCACCAGAUGAUCGUUUGGAGACGAGAGACCCCGACAGUGGUCGCCUAGGGUCCCAUCUGGGGUGCCAAACUGUUAUGGAAAUUAGGCUUGUCGGCCACCAUAACAGGGCUCGACCCUAGGUUCCCGCAAGUAAAGUUCAGAGCCAAAUCAAAACAAAUUAAAUUUUAAUCACGCGCGUGCCAUAAUUACAGCUCGAGCUGGGUGCCUCCUAAGAGGGACCCUAACAUAAACAAAUC